rnacentral:rRNA from 1 species
AGAGUUUGAUCCUGGCUCAGAUUGAACGCUGGCGGCAGGCUUAACACAUGCAAGUCGAGCGGUAGUACAGGGGAGCUUGCUCCCUGGGUGACGAGCGGCGGACGGGUGAGUAAUGUCUGGGAAACUGCCUGAUGGAGGGGGAUAACUACUGGAAACGGUAGCUAAUACCGCAUAACGUCGCAAGACCAAAGAGGGGGACCUUCGGGCCUCUUGCCAUCAGAUGUGCCCAGAUGGGAUUAGCUAGUAGGUGGGGUAAUGGCUCACCUAGGCGACGAUCCCUAGCUGGUCUGAGAGGAUGACCAGCCACACUGGAACUGAGACACGGUCCAGACUCCUACGGGAGGCAGCAGUGGGGAAUAUUGCACAAUGGGCGCAAGCCUGAUGCAGCCAUGCCGCGUGUGUGAAGAAGGCCUUCGGGUUGUAAAGCACUUUCAGCGAGGAGGAAGGUGGUGAACUUAAUACGUUCAUCAAUUGACGUUACUCGCAGAAGAAGCACCGGCUAACUCCGUGCCAGCAGCCGCGGUAAUACGGAGGGUGCAAGCGUUAAUCGGAAUUACUGGGCGUAAAGCGCACGCAGGCGGUUUGUUAAGUCAGAUGUGAAAUCCCCGGGCUCAACCUGGGAACUGCAUUUGAAACUGGCAAGCUAGAGUCUCGUAGAGGGGGGUAGAAUUCCAGGUGUAGCGGUGAAAUGCGU